rnacentral:rRNA from 1 species
GAUGAACGCUGGCGGCGUGCCUAAUACAUGCAAGUCGAGCGAACGCACGAGAAGCUUGCUCCUCUGAUGUUAGCGGCUGACGGGUGAGUAAGACGUGGAUAACCUACCUAUAAGACUGGGAUGACAUCGGGAAACCGGAGCUAAUACCGGAUCAUAUUUUGAACCGCAUGGAUCAAGAGUUAUAUACUCUCUUCGUGUCACUUAUAGCUGAAUCCGCGCUGCAUUAGCUAGUUGGUAAGGUAACGGCUUACCAAGGCAACGAUGCAUAUCCGACCUGAGAGGAUGAUCGGCCACACUGGAACUGAGACACGGUCCAGACUCCUACGGGAGGCAGCAGUAGGGAAUAUUACCCAAUGGGCGAAAGCCUGAUCGAGCCACACCGCGUAAGUGAUGAAGGUCUUCGGAUUGUAAAACUCUGUUAUUGGGGAAGAACAUAUGCGUAAGUAACUGCGCAUAUCUUGACGGUACCUAAUCAGAAAGCCACGGCUAACUUCGUG